rnacentral:tRNA from 1 species
GUAAUUAUAGUUAAAUGGUAUAACAUAUGCUUGUGGUGCAUUACGUCUGAGUUCGAUUCUCAGUAUUUACC